rnacentral:lncRNA from 1 species
UUGGACUCACGGCACUACUCAGUUCUCUCUCUCUUAAAAAUGAUAUUUAUAUUUCAAAAUAGGUAAAACUUGAUAAUGGCAGAAGGUAAGGAGUCAGUGGAGAAAAACAGAAAAUGCUGGCAGAAAGAAACAGGGGCUAGGGGUACAAGGUCUCUUAGAAAGUGGGAAGAAAUGGGAGCUUGAAACCAUCAUUCUUAGCAAACUAACACAGGAACCGAAAACCAAACACCGCAUGUUCUCACUCAUAAGUGGGAGUUGAACAAUGAGAACAUAUGGGCACAGGGAGGGGAACAUCACACACUGGCGCCUGUCGGGGGGUUGGGGGCAAGGGAAGGGAUAACAUUCGGAGAAAUACCUAAUGUAGAUGAUGAGUUGAUGGGUGCAGCAACUGAAUCUGGUUUUCAAUACUUCUGUUGAAAGCCAUAAAUAUGAUUUAAUAUGGACUAUAAUAAGGUACUAUUCUGCUCUUCACUUCAAAGACACAUCUUUUGAAUAUGGCAAGUAGCUAGGGAAAUAUCAAAAGUUCCAGUAUUAUUUCGUUAUAUUUUCCAAAUUCUCCACUAAUCUUUGUGUGUAGACAUUUAACCAAAUAAAAUGAUUCAUAUUACUUAAUGUUGUUACUCAUGCCAAAUAUAUUUCAUAAUAAAAAAAGACAUCUGAGUGUAGAGAGAGGAUGGAUAUGAACUGGUAGGCACUACUUGAACCAAAUGAUCAAAGCUAAAUUUGUCAGUAAUGGUACUAAACAACAGCAUCUACCUCUGGAUAUAAGGACUUAGCAUCACUACUGUGAUAUUCCUGCCCAAGUUGUAUGACCUGACUAUCAUCCCCAGGAAACACAAAAUAAACUCAAAUUGAAAGACAGUCUAUGCUUUAGACUGAAUGUUAACGUUGCCUC